rnacentral:misc_RNA from 1 species
UCUCCGUUGGUGAACCAGCGGAGGGAUCAUUACCGAGUUAUCAACUCCCAAACCCCCGUGAACAUACCCAACGUUGCUUCGGCGGGACCGCCCCGGCGCCCUCGGCGUCCCGGAACCAGGCGCCCGCCGGAGGACCCAAACUCUUGUUUAAACCAUAGUGGCAUAUUCUGAGUCUCACAAGAAAAAUGAAUCAAAACUUUCAACAACGGAUCUCUUGGCUCUG